AUCAGGUAUCUGCUGUCAUCUUGCCCAGCUUGGAGCUAAGAGCUCUGUGUGUGUUUGUAUGAGCAGUGAACAGUAUGGAACAUGUAGAAGGAGUGGACAGGAAGGACCAGAGAGGUGUUUGUGGAAUGGAGCCCUGCGCAGGAGUGUGAGGAAGCCAACCGGUACAGAUUUUCUCCUAUUGGAUGUAGAGGCAGGAGCUGUCUGCUUUGGGCAGGGCUAGUGUAACCUCAGUGACAGGUUGAAUUUAACACCUCACUACCUCCUCCACCAGCCAGGCCACUGCUAUCCAGGACUCCACUGCCUGGGAUCAGCCUUCUCUACACACAUGGAGCCCCUGGGGAUAGGUCUCACCUUGCUGGUAAUGAUGCAGACCCAGGCCCAAGGCCCAAGAAGGCAUGAAGGGCUUCCUCAAGCCCUGCUGCCCAACAUACCUUUCCACAAGAUCUGUCUUCUGCCCAGCCUUGGGAAGGAGAUAGUAACUAUGAACCCUGGCCAGGCAGGCCCAGUUCCCAUGGGUAGAAACAAGAAACGGGGAGCUCAGCCCAAUGGCAUCCCGGCGCAGACUUCACAUUCCCCGGUGGCCCUCAAGACCGUCCAGGACCCUGGCAUAUGAACACUGGGUCAGCUGAGCCAGGACCUCCUCAGAGACUGGGAAGGCUAGAAGGCUGUCAGAGUUGACUGACUAUGGAAGGCUCGGCUCUCAUCGCAUCCCAACUAGACCCACAAUGUCCCUGCUCACUCAGCCCCAACACAAUAAAUGCCUGUGACAGAGGAA
rnacentral:lncRNA from 1 species